GAUGAACGCUGGCGGCGUGCCUAAUACAUGCAAGUCGAACGCAUAGCGAAAGGUGCUUGCACCUUUCAAGUGAGUGGCGAACGGGUGAGUAACACGUGGACAACCUGCCUCAAGGCUGGGGUUAACAUUUGGAAACAGAUGCUAAUACCGAAUAAAACUUAUUGUCGCAUGACACAAAGUUAAAAGGCGCUUCGGCGUCACCUAGAGAUGGAUCCGCGGUGCAUUAGUUAGUUGGUGGGGUAAAGGCCUACCAAGACAAUGAUGCAUAGCCGAGUUGAGAGACUGAUCGGCCACAUUGGGACUGAGACACGGCCCAAACUCCUACGGGAGGCUGCAGUAGGGAAUCUUCCACAAUGGGCGAAAGCCUGAUGGAGCAACGCCGCGUGUGUGAUGAAGGCUUUCGGGUCGUAAAGCACUGUUGUAUGGGAAGAACAGCUAGAAUAGGAAAUGAUUUUAGUUUGACGGUACCAUACCAGAAAGGGACGGCUAAAUACGUG
rnacentral:rRNA from 1 species